AUCAAACGCGCCAAACUUUUUCUCUUUUUAAUAACUUUUCCCAAAUUUUUAGCGCACUAUUUAGUAACCAUUGUGGCUAGGGUUUUUCUUAUCAGCGUCCUCCUUAUUGCAUCGUAUUGGAUCGGAGAAGAACCGAAUGGAGUUUCCGCUGCAUUUCUCAAUAUUAUUUCUAAUUUAAGUGGUUCAGAUGAGGCAAGUUGCUCAAGACUUAUGGAUGACAUCACGGAUGAGCAUGAUUAAACCAACAUAGGUGGUAAUAUGGUUCAUCAAUGCACAAGUUACUGGAAGAAAAUUUGCUUUUAGGGUUGUUAUUAGAAAAGAAAUUAUGACUCUGGAAAUGUUCUUAUUCUUUUUUGUAAGUAAAAACAUAUGUUUUAGCGGUACUUAGUUUUUGAAGGUAUGUAAAUACUUAGUGCUUCAGUUGUAUUGACUUUUGCAAAUAUAUAUCAUAUAUCAAUUUAUAUA